rnacentral:rRNA from 1 species
GAUGAACGCUGGCGGCGUGCCUAAUACAUGCAAGUCGAGCGAACGGACGAGAAGCUUGCUUCUCUGAUGUUAGCGGCGGACGGGUGAGUAACACGUGGAUAACCUACCUAUAAGACUGGGAUAACUUCGGGAAACCGGAGCUAAUACCGGAUAAUAUUUUGAACCGCAUGGUUCAAAAGUGAAAGACGGUCUUGCUGUCACUUAUAGAUGGAUCCGCGCUGCAUUAGCUAGUUGGUAAGGUAACGGCUUACCAAGGCAACGAUGCAUAGCCGACCUGAGAGGUGGACAGGGCACACUGUAACGGAGAAACGGGCCAGACACCAACGGGAGACAGCCGUAGGGAAGAUGCCUCAAGGGGCCAAAGCCUUACGGAGAAACGCCGCUGGGGUGAUGAAGGUCGUCGAAUCGUAAAACUCUGUUAUUAGGGAAGAAAAUAAGUGUAAGGAACCGUGCAAAGCUUGACGGGACCUAAGCAGAAAGCCACGCGUAACUACGUG